AAAGCGGCUCUGGCCUCUGGUGUCUCCAUCUAAGCCUGUGCCCCUUCCUGCCGCAGGGCGCGGAGAGAGAGCAAGGCGGCUCCUUGCACUGCUCGGGCUCUCCCGGCGCCAGUCGUGGAGCUUCUCUGACGCCGCCUCCAAGUGUCUCAGCUUCGUUGAGAGCCAGCAAUAGCCGCGGCUGCAGCGCCGACAAGCGCCGGUUCACCGCAGGCUCAGGCGCCCGGGUCUCUGCCCUCUACGCACUCGCCUCUCCUCCCGCCCGCCUUCCCUCCGCGUGCCCCACCUCCGGUGGGCGCCUGGCCUCCUCCGCCCUGCUGUCCUGUCGGCUGAGCGGCACGCGGGGAACUUUCGCGUCUGCUGCGAGAGCAGGGCGGCUGCCUUCGGGCUGCCUAGGACCCUCGGUCUGAAACCAAGUGCAGCGUGCUCUGCGCGGCUCUCCCGCCGAGGAAAUGGGGCUGGGAGCGGACAGCGGGCUCAGCGGGAGCUGGAAACAGAGGACGAGCCGACCGUGCCAGGUGGAACCGAGUCCUCGACGCCUCAGGGGCCACUGAGGCGUGGAGGCGCAGGUGUAGAGGGCCAAACGGAACGGCUUCAGAGCGGCCCAUGUCCUCCCAAAGAUGGUAGUUCGCAGAGCGGGGGUCGCUCCGACGCGUGCGUUGCCCGGGGAACUGUGAGGAGCCCGCGGAGGCCCACCCCGAAACGGGGCAAGGGGCAGAGCUCUCGGCUUGCAGGGUCCCAGAGCGGGACGACCCGGGGCUGCGGGGCUCCGGAGUGGUGGCUGUGUUAACGCCACCCUCAGGCGAGCCUCUGGGGCUCGGAGCAGAGCGCACACUGGCGGUGCCAGUGCACGCUGACGCCCAGGGCCUCUGGGGGUCCCAUGGUGUUGGCAGUGACAGCCCAGGUGGGAGCUUGGGCCCUCAGAGCCGCCCUGGCUGUACUCCAGGCUUCCCGGGAGGCAGGGAGGCGGACCUUGGGGGCCCUGGUCCCCAAGGCAGAGGGAGUCCCUUGUGGAGCUCCUGCUUGGGACCUGCCUCUAAUUCGGAGACUUGGCCGGCCUGAUUGAAACCUCCUUCAUGGCGCUCAGCAACUGCAGAGGCUGGAAAGAGAAGCAGAAUAUGGCAUGCGUUUCUCCCGGAGCCGUCUCCGAACUUUCUGUGAAACUGACUAGCCCACAUUCAAUAUCGGGUGGCCCCCCGCUGGCACCUUUGAUAGGGCCAUUACUCAGGCCAUCUGGGACAUCAGCCUGGGACGUCCAGGCCACCCUGACCAGUUCCCUUAUAUCGACAUUUGGAAAUAAUUAAUUCAGAAUCCACCUAAAUGGUUAACUUCCUGUACCAUCAGGACCCCCUCUCUUGGAGCGGUGCUAGUUGCGCCAGUCCCAGGGCUCCUCGCGCCUAAAUCUAAAAACCCUCCACCAGUUUUACAAGAAAUGCCCGAGGACCCUCCGGAGCCACAGCUUCUGCUGCCUCCGGCGUCCCUUCCCCCACCGCUUCCUCCAUACCCUCCCCCUACCCCCGCUCCCAUCUACCCUCCACUUCCCGAACCCUUUCCCGACUCCACCGUACCUGAGCCCCCUGCCUCCUCCAAAGCACUCCCUCCCUUAUCGCCUUCGCUUACGAGAAGGGGAUCUCCUUAUGCAUUCACUGGCGGGGAGUCCCAGUCCCCUGCUCCAUCAGUCUCUGAACUCCCUGGACCUGCGGCUAUUUUGCCUUUGCGCCAGAUACAGCCUGGGGGGAGCUUUAUUUAUGUCCCUUUCACCACCACUGAUCUAUACAAUUGGAAACAUCAGAAUCCUCCUUUUUCAGAGAAGCCUCAGGCCUUAAUUUCUCUUUUGGAGUCCGUUUUCCGGACCCAUAUACCCACAUGGGAUGAUUACCAACAGCUCCUCCAAACCCUAUUUACCUCCGAGGAGCGCGAGCGCAUUUUGCAGGAGGCCCGCAAAGUCGCUCUCGGACCAGGAUCAGACAUCAAUGACCCCAUGAAUUCUGACAGGCUCCAACGCCUAGUUCCAACCCAGCGACCAGACUGGGAUCCCACUACGGAUGCCGGUAAGGGGAGCCUGGACACUUAUCACCAGUAUCUUUUGGGGGGACUCCGAUCAGCGGCUAGAAAGCCCACUAAUCUGACCAAGGUAGGAGAGGUUGUUCAGGGUAAAACAGAG